UCUAUGGMUAAUACAUGCGCACUYGCCUCCYYCUCUGGAGGGGCUGUGUUUAUUAGAUACAAAACCAACCCACUUUGUGGAGUCCUGGUGAUUCAUAGUAACCGAACGGAUCGCAGUUGGCYUCGGCCCGCGAUGGAUCUUUCAAGUUUCUGACCUAUCAGCUUUCGACGGUAGGGUAUUGGCCUACCGUGGCAGUGACGGGUAACGGGGAAUUAGGGUUYGAUUCCGGAGAGGGAGCCUGAGAAACGGCUACCACAUCUAAGGAAGGCAGCAGGCGCGCAAAUUACCCAAUGAAAACAGUUUCGAGGUAGUGACGAGAAAUAACAAUACAGGGCAUUUUAUGCYCYGUAAUUGGAAUGAWGGGAAUGKAAAACCCUUCCMGARUAACAAUUGGAGGGCAAGUCUGGUGCCMGCAGCCSCGGUAAUUCCMGCUCCMAUAGUGUAUAUUAGARUUGUUGCAGUUAAAAAGCUCGUARUUGGAUUUCUGUCGUGGUCAUCCSGCUCCGCCCGUAUGGGUGUGCGCCUGGUUUGCCCUC
rnacentral:rRNA from 1 species